UACGUAGGGUGCAAGCGUUGUCCGGAAUCAUUGGGCGUAAAGAGCGUGUAGGCGGCCCGAUAAGUCCGCUGUGAAAGUCCAGGGCUCAACCCUGGAAUGCCGGUGGAUACUGUCGGGCUAGAGUCCGGAAGGGGCGAGUGGAAUUCCUGGUGUAGCGGUGAAAUGCGCAGAUAUCAGGAGGAACACCAAUAGCGAAGGCAGCUCGCUGGGACGUUACUGACACUGAGGCGCGAAAGCGUGGGGAGCGAACAGG
rnacentral:rRNA from 1 species